rnacentral:rRNA from 1 species
GUCGAGCGGUAAGGCCCUUCGGGGUACACGAGCGGCGAACGGGUGAGUAACACGUGGGUGAUCUGCCUUGCACUCUGGGAUAAGCCUGGGAAACUGGGUCUAAUACCGGAUAUGACCUGCAGUUGCAUGACUGUGGGUGGAAAGAUUUAUCGGUGCGAGAUGAGCCCGCGGCCUAUCAGCUUGUUGGUGGGGUAAUGGCCUACCAAGGCGACGACGGGUAGCCGGCCUGAGAGGGCGACCGGCCACACUGGGACUGAGACACGGCCCAGACUCCUACGGGAGGCAGCAGUGGGGAAUAUUGCACAAUGGGCGGAAGCCUGAUGCAGCGACGCCGCGUGAGGGAUGACGGCCUUCGGGUUGUAAACCUCUUUCGACUCCGACGAAGCGAAAGUGACGGUAGGAGUAUAAGAAGCACCGGCCAACUACGUGCCAGCAGCCGCGGUAAUACGUAGGGUGCGAGCGUUGUCCGGAAUUACUGGGCGUAAAGAGCUUGUAGGCGGCUUGUCGCGUCGAUCGUGAAAACUCGGGGCUCAACCCCGAGCUUGCGGUCGAUACGGGCAGGCUUGAGUACUUCAGGGGAGACUGGAAUUCCUGGUGUAGCGGUGAAAUGCGCAGAUAUCAGGAGGAACACCGGUGGCGAAGGCGGGUCUCUGGGAAGUAACUGACGCUGAGAAGCGAAAGCGUGGGUAGCGAACAGGAUUAGAUACCCUGGUAGUCCACGCCGUAAACGGUGGGUACUAGGUGUGGGUUUCCUUCCACGGGAUCCGUGCCGUAGCUAACGCAUUAAGUACCCCGCCUGGGGAGUACGGCCGCAAGGCUAAAACUCAAAGGAAUUGACGGGGGCCCGCACAAGCGGCGGAGCAUGUGGAUUAAUUCGAUGCAACGCGAAGAACCUUACCUGGGUUUGACAUACACCGGAAACCUGCAGAGAUGUAGGCCACCUUGUGGUC